rnacentral:rRNA from 1 species
AGUGAACGCUGGCGGUAGGCCUAACACAUGCAAGUCGAACGGCAGCACAGUAAGAGCUUGCUCUUACGGGUGGCGAGUGGCGGACGGGUGAGGAAUACAUCGGAAUCUACUUUUUCGUGGGGGAUAACGUAGGGAAACUUACGCUAAUACCGCAUACGACCUACGGGUGAAAGCAGGGGAUCUUCGGACCUUGCGCGAUUGAAUGAGCCGAUGUCGGUUUAGCUAGUUGGCGGGGUAAAGGCCCACCAAGGCGACGAUCCGUAGCUGGUCUGAGAGGAUGAUCAGCCACACUGGAACUGAGACACGGUCCAGACUCCUACGGGAGGCAGCAGUGGGGAAUAUUGGACAAUGGGCGCAAGCCUGAUCCAGCCAUACCGCGUGGGUGAAGAAGGCCUGCGGGUUGUAAAGCCCUUUUGUUGGGAAAGAAAAGCAGCAGGUUAAUACCCCGCUGUUCUGACGGUACCCAAAGAAUAAGCACCGGCUAACUUCGU